GCCGCACACUCCACCUGUGGCUCCGCCUCUGCGCGCCAGAGCCUAGGCGGGAGGGCGGAGCCCGAAGCAGGGAGCGCAGCUGCGGGUGUGUGGAGAACCUAGGAGCGGCGGAGCCGGCGCUCGGAGCCGCGCGGCUGGAACUGGCGGCCGAGACAAAGGCGACGGGUCAGUUUUGAGUGAACCAAUGAAAUCAAAAGAGAAGAAAUCUUCAAGGAACAACUUCUGUUAAUGAGUCUGCAGAGACACCUGUGUGUGUCUUACGGCAUAGUCUCCGCUUAGAGACAGCUGAAUAAGUGGCCCCAUUGAUGAGUGACCCGCUGCAGGCUCCUCCCAUUGAACUGGAAUCAGGAAAAGAAACAACCAGACUUUGCUCUUAAUCAGCUGGAGACCUUCGACUCCAAGGACAGAGCACAGUGAA